rnacentral:miRNA from 1 species
UGAGAUUCUUCUAUUCUACU